UACGGGAGUGGCAAGCGUUAUCCGGAAUUAUUGGGCGUAAAGCGUCCGCAGGCGGUCUGUCAAGUCUGCUGUUAAAGCGUGGAGCUUAACUCCAUUAAGGCAGUGGAAACUGACAGACUAGAGUGUGGUAGGGGCAGAGGGAAUUCCCGGUGUAGCGGUGAAAUGCGUAGAUAUCGGGAAGAACACCAGUGGCGAAGGCGCUCUGCUGGGCCAUAACUGACGCUCAUGGACGAAAGCCAGGGGAGCGAAAGGGAUUAGAUACCCCUGUAGUCCUGGCCGUAAACGAUGAACACUAGGUGUCGGGGGAAUCGACCCCCUCGGUGUCGUAGCCAACGCGUUAAGUGUUCCGCCUGGGGAGUACGCACGCAAGUGUGAAACUCAAAGGAAUUGACGGGGGCCCGCACAAGCGGUGGAGUAUGUGGUUUAAUUCGAUGCAACGCGAAGAACCUUACCAGGGUUUGACAUCCUGCGAAUCUCUUGGAAACGAGAGAGUGCCUUCGGGAACGCAGUGACAGGUGGUGCAUGGCUGUCGUCAGCUCGUGUCGUGAGAUGUUGGGUUAAGUCCCGCAACGAGCGCAACCCACGUCGUUAGUCGCCAGCAUUUAGUUGGGCACUCUAGCGAGACCGCCGGUGAUAAACCGGAGGAAGGUGUGGAUGACGUCAAGUCAUCAUGCCCCUUACAUCCUGGGCUACACACGUACUACAAUGCCACGGACAAAGGGCAGCAAACUCGCGAGAGCUAGCAAAUCCCAUAAACCGUGGCUCAGUUCAGAUCGUAGGCUGCAACUCGCCUACGUGAAGGAGGAAUCGCUAGUAAUCGCAGGUCAGCAUACUGCGGUGAAUACGUUCCCGGGCCU
rnacentral:rRNA from 1 species